GUGUGCCCUGCGAUUGGCUGGCAAUCAGUUCAGGGUGUACCCUAUCUACUGCCCAAAGACAGCUGGGAUAGGCUUUAGAAAAUGGAUGAAUGGUUAACUGUCUACAUACCGAAUUGAAUAUCAUAAUGACAUUCACUGAAAUCACAAAUUUACAUACCAUACUGUCUUGCCGGAAUAAUAACACCUGUUGAAUAGACGUAGCAAGUCAGCGCUUCUUUUUUCGUCGCACAAAAAGUCAGGCACUGGGCUGCCUGCCUACAUUGGCUAAAAGCCCCUUUGAAAGAGAGCUGUAAUGAGCUCUCUCUUGACCAUGUUCCUCGAUUGUAUGUCAUUUUAAAUUCCUCUCUGGUCAAUGCGAUAAUGUUAUGGUGACGGAUAAACAAAGCUAAGGUCAGAUUCUCAAGAUAAUGUGUUGCACUAAAAGGUUAUUGAACUAAGUAAAGGUGUGUUAUUUUGCUCAGCUAUAAAAACUCAUUUUCCCUAGAUAACGGCAUGAUAAUAUCAUCCUGUAUUUAAAAAAAAUUAUGAACAUUACCAUGCGCAAACCAAAUUACUGUAUUUUUCGGAUUAUACAUCGCUCUGGAUUAUAAAUCGCAGCAGCCAAAAAAUGCAUAAUUAAGAAGGAAAAAACAUACAUAAAUCACACUGGAGUAUAAGUCACAUUUUUUGGGGAAAUUUACUUGAUAAAAUCCAACACCAAAAACAUACAUGUCAUCUUGAAAGGCAAUUUAAAAUAAAAAUAAAACUAGACAACUACAGGCUGAAUAAGUGGACGAUAUGCUAACGUUAAAUGAUGCUUAAACAACGAACUGUGAAUGUGACUGGUAUGUUCACGUAACAUAUUUUGAGUUAUUUACACAACUACAGCACAAAGACCAUGCUAACAAAUUUACCAAACCAUCAGCGUCACUCCAUAUCACGAAAUCCAAUUAAAUCUUCAUGCUCGGUGUCACUUUUAAACAACUCCGCCAACUCCAGAGGGAGAAGAUGCAGCGCUUCCUCUUCUACAUCGCUUACUUCAGAAUCAUCGUCAGUUGUUUUUCUCAGUUACCGCCAACGUGGAAAGUAUCAACACAGGCCGAGAGCACCCUCUUGCGGUUUAAUGUCAAAAUAACAUGUGACAUGUCCAAUGUGUCAACCAUUUCACACAUAAGUUGCUCCAGGGCAAACAUGAAAAAAACUGCGAUUUAUAAUCCGGAAAAUACGUUUGUAAAAACAAACUUAACCGUAUCAUGCACCCUGUAACCUGGCUACAUGAUAAGCUGUCCACUCGAGUAACCGCUGUCCCUGAAAGUGUUAAUUAUACAGUGGGUCCUUAGAGCAAUGUUUUCCAACCUCUAUUGAAGCA